UACGUAGGGUGCGAGCGUUGUCCGGAUUUAUUGGGCGUAAAGAGCUCGUAGGCGGUCUGUCGCGUCGGCUGUGAAAACCCGGAGCUCAACUCCGGGCCUGCAGUCGAUACGGGCAAACUGGAGUGUUGCAGGGGAGACUGGAAUUCCUGGUGUAGCGGUGAAAUGCGCAGAUAUCUGGAGGAACACCGGUGGCGAAGGCGGCAUCCUGGACCGACACUGACGCUGAGGAGCGAAAGCCAGGGGAGCAAACGGG
rnacentral:rRNA from 1 species